UUACCGUCACCGUCGCCGUACGGAUGUCAUCGGGCUGCGUGGCCGCGGCUCCGGCAUGCGUAUUAUACCCACGACGUUUGUCGUUAUUCCGCCGGAUGCACGCGAUCUUAACCCGUGCGGAGUGGGUACAACGACGCCUGGCACGCGGGUCGGGCCCCGUAGUGAUGGCGACAAGCCGUCGAUGUCUUGAAGCUACACGCAAUGGUCCUAACGUUUUACCGAUAAUUAUCUUAUCUUAUCGA